rnacentral:rRNA from 1 species
UACGGAGGGAACUAGCGUUGUUCGGAUUUACUGGGCGUAAAGGGCGCGUAGGCGGUCUGUUAAGUUAGAAGUGAAAGCCUGGGGCUUAACCCCAGAACUGCUUCUAAAACUGGCAAACUAGAGUGCGGGAGAGGAUAGUGGAAUUCCUAGUGUAGAGGUGAAAUUCUUAGAUAUUAGGAGGAACACCGGUGGCGAAAGCGACUAUCUGGAACGCAACUGACGCUGAGGCGCGAAAGCGUGGGGAGCAAACAGGAUUAGAUACCCCGGUAGUCC